rnacentral:ncRNA from 1 species
AUGAAUCUGCCACCGGGCAGAGAUGCUUAAAGCAUCCGUUACUCAUCGUUAGGUUUUUGAAGAUGGGUAAAUGGGUGCUUAUUUUUUA